UCUGCGAAGGCAGUAGAACUAUAUGACUACCUUGUGAUCCCAAUACAUCAAUUUGAAGAAAUCACUUUGAAUUUUGCAUUUUUAUUAGCAAGAAAUUAAAAAUCUCAAUUGCAAAUAGACGUAUUAAUCUCGACAUGUAGCGAACAUGGAGAUACAUACAUUCUGGAAUACAUCGUACUCAACAGAAAUACACCACUAUUAUAAUGAAUAGUAAUGAUGUUGCAAACUUGAUGUUCAAGUGAAAAACUUGAAUUGUAUAGACCUCAAAUUAAAUGAGAUGAUGUUGUAUCAAGUUGGAAGAUAAUUCAGCAAAAUGAAUUAAUAUUUUGCGACAGAAAAUUAAUCUCAAUCGCAAUGAGAUUAUUUUGCGAGAAAAAAAAACUCAAUCGCAAAUCAAUAUUGUUGUGCGAGAAAACUUAAUCUCAAUCGCAAAACAAUGUCAUUGUACUAAUACAACAUGUUAAAGGGAUUGCCAAAAAGCAAAAACAUUGAACAUGUCAAGCAUCAACAACCACACAUUUCUGGAAUUUUUAAACUCAGCAGAAAAUGGGCUAAAUGAUGAUCUGUAUAUAUGGCCUAACGUUACUGGUGCUAAUCAACAGCAACUAGUUAGACCAAGCUGCUAUAUCCCGAAACUGCCAGGAAUUAGCCGUAAAACAAUGACAGAGGCAAGUUUUGACCUAUUUCGGAAAUAGGUAAAGCCACAAGGCUGAAAUGCAAAACUUGCGAAGAGAUAAGAUUCCUAUCUCUUUACUCCCGAGCGCUUUCUACCCGGAGAAAUCCUGUAAUCGCCCGCCGCUGUUUUGGCACACCGGCCAGGGCCGCGAUUGUGGGAGCGCCGUCGUCUCCGUCUCCGCUGUGGGAGCCACGCCGAAGGGCGCCGCUGCCUCCGGGGCCGGGGGGCCAGUCGAGGGCCGUUGCCUCGGGCGCCGCCUGCACGGAUGCAAGCCGAGGGCUGCGGCGUCGCCUCAGUCUUCCGCGCCGCGUCGCGGUUGGGUGCCGCCUUCGCGGGCGCCGAGGCUGUUGUCUGCGGCGUGCGUAGUGGGAGAGCGUCUCGCCAUGCGCGUGUGCGCUGGGUGUCGACGCGGUCACGCUUUAGGCGGCCUCGCGCCAGAGGCCGCGCCCCCACAUCAUGGCUGGUGCGCCGGAGGGCGUUGCCGUUUCAUCGAGGUCCGCGCAGCCCCUCCGCGUUGAGAGGUCAAGGCCACGCAGACGUGCCCCGCGUUAGAGGCCGGCGGACACCUCGACGCAUCGCUGGACAGCCGUGUGUGUGCAAGGUGCAUGGACGCAGGCGCCGCUGGCGAUGCUGAUGAAAAGCAACGACAUUUGUCCCUUGAUCCAGUGCAGUGCACGAAGAAUUGAAGAACGCAUGGACAGAGCCGCCGCUCCAAGCGUUGGCCGUUGGUCACUCCUGUGGACGCGCUGCCGGGAGCCCGCGGUCGCGCGUGGGUGCCGCCUUCCGCCGGGAACACCGCGUUGCCGCGGAAUAGCCGUCGAGGUGUGCGCGGCGCCAUGCGCUGCCUUUGCUAGCGCUGGAGCGCUGGCUUCCUUCGCCACGCAGGGCCGGAGGGCAUCGCGACGCUGCGCGCUCGCUGCCGGCAGUUUGGCCGUGAAAUCGCUCCGCCAGAGAGCGUGCUGAUAACGUGUUUUGAGCAGAGAACGAGAGACAAUCGACAAGGAUGUAAA